ACUCCGAGAUGAAUAAAGAAAAGCACGAAAAAGGCUCGGAUAGCGCUAAGGAUGAUUCUGUCAGCGCAGAUAAUAAAAAGUAAAGAAAAUAAAGAAGGAGGAUGAUGUGAUAACUAAGAAGGAACCCACAAUUAGAUCUAAUUACUAAGGAGGCCUUGUGGGAUAAACUAAUACAGGCUCUCUGCAGUUUACACCUGAUCUCUAGUCGGAAGCUCCUAAUGAUGAUUCUAAAGCAGUGUUUGAAUCUACCACAUUGUCUCUAUUAAAACAAGAAGAAAAAACUUAUGCCUUAUCUGACCUUUUUGGUUUGGGCUUAGGCCCAACAGGUCCUGAGACUGGAAACACAGGACAUCCAACUCAGUCCCAAUCAAAAAGUGUGCAGCUAUUGGGUAGCAAUGUUAUAAACAAACAGUCCAGUUCUAUGGAAGUGCAGUAUAUGCAAUACAACAAAGUCAAAUAUUCGUUUUUUUUCAACAGUGUUAGCGAAUUCUGGAGCUGAUGAAGUUCUUCAGGGACAUUACCCCUCAAUCAUUGCUUCUCAUUAUGCACAACCAGGUACUAAAAAUAUUUGGAGAAAAACCCUUUGAAGGUAACACAGUUUAAUCAGCAGAAUGCAGCUCGGUGGCCAUUUAGCCAUUUAGCCAUGAUGAAAAAUAAGGAUUGUACAGGAAGUCCCGGAGUAGGCUCUAAGCCCCCUCCCAGUAUAGAUAAUUUCUCAGAUCCAGAAGGAUUAAAAGAUAUGAUAGAUUUGGAUGAUAGUGAUAUCCUUGGGAACCAUCAUUUAACAAUAACCAUCAUUUAGAAGGACUGGAGGGUGCUGUAACUAACGGUUUACCUGACAUGGGUCCAGAUAUGAACUCAUGUAGUCCUUUUUUAUUAAAUGGUCAGCACAAAUUACAGGGCGUUCAAGUGCAUAAUAAAAACCUAAUUCCUCCGCAAAGGCAACACAGAGAAGAGCAUUUGGCAUCUAUUAGAAAAAUGCAUCAGUUGCUGUUUUCUGAAAGUCAGAGUGAUGAGACCAUUGGAGGCCCUCCUGAUGAACUAUCAGGCAUCCUUUCUGGAGGUGCAGCGCCAUUGAGAAGUUUCUAAUGUCGUGGACGCCUUCAAAUACAAUUGGGAGAACCAAGUUAGAAUUUUAACAAAGGCCAUCGAUGAUAUAACGACAGUAGAUGACUUUUUGGAUGUGUCUGAAAAUCACAUUUUGGAAGAUGUGAACAACUGUGUCCUACGUAUGUGGAACGUACUGCAGCGGCAAUCAGAGGCCGUCGCGGCAGAAAUGAAUAAUUAUGAACAGUGGAUUUACACGAAACGAGUUUUGGAGGCAGUAAAGGUGCUAAAUGAUCAGGUGAUGCCUAACUUUACGGAGAGGGUACAGGUUGGCAGUUCAAGCAAUUUUAAGUGAUCAGCAACGACAACCUGCGAAAGAUGAAAACUGGACGAAUUUAUCCCCACUUUCAGUCUAGUCUACGAUGGUGUGCGUGAAAUUCGUAGUGCAGUACUAAUGAAUCGAACGGAUGAAGACCUGGAACCUGAAGAUGUCGAGCUUGAUGAAAAUACCCUUUGGAAACGAAAGGCAAUCAAGUGUCCAUAACUGAGAUUAACGGCAUAACGACAGCUCGCGAAGCCAUGGGUAGAUGCCUGAGGAAGAUAAACAGAAGAUCAUCCAACAGGUGGAAUACUUGAGAGGAACGAGAAGUUCAAGUUCGACAGCGAAGUCGCCAAGUAGGACGACACGGACAACGACAUCAUCGUUCUGGCGAAGCACACGUGCGUCAUCAUGAUGGGGAAGACGGACCAGAAGUCGUUGCCCGCUAAAAGCCACGAUGGUUGUCAUCAACGCCGUUAAAAAGAUAUCCAAAGCCGGCACAAAGCUGGAUAGACGGACCCGCCAAAUCGUAGACCAGUGUCCAGAAAGCUCAACCAAGAAAGAUUUGUAGACAUAUUUGCGACGUAUAGCGCUUUAUCGCCGCCAAAUGAGCAUCGCCUCCAAGGUAAAAGCUGACGUUCAGAAUAUCAGUGGUGAACUAAUUGGUUCAGGCUUAGACAGUGCCACAUCCUUAAUAUAAGCCGCUAAAAACCUGAUGGACCUCCAUAAGUAAAGUUUUAUAUUAAAAAUAGAGAUUGAAAGAAUUUGUUUUACUUCUGUAGCAGUUGGAGGUACUGCGUGGAGUCACCCAUCAAGGCAGCUGAAAAUGGAGAUGACAAGCGAGUAGAGGAGUAUGCUGAGAAUUUUACGGAGCAUUUUAACAAACUGGUUGAGGUCGCAAAUUUAGUUUGCAGUAAUAAAUGAGUCCUAGCUCUUCAGGAGAAUGAAGCAAACACAUUGGAACGUACCGCAGCGGCAAUCAGAGGCCGUACUGGUCGUAUUGCCCUUGUUGUCGCGGCAGAAAUGGACAAUUCAAGCCACUAAAAACCUGAUGGACGCUGUCGUUUUGUCAGUUAAAGCGUCGGCGUCGUAUGUUGCCUCAACAAAAUAACCAAGACAACAAUGAACUCUUGCCUCUCCAAUUGUUGUAUGGAAGAUGAAAUAACCCGAGAAGAAGCCUUAUAUUCGUGCCAAAGUAAGGAAAGGGUCACAGAAGAAGGUUCAGAACCGGAUGCAUUGUUGGGAAUACCAAACAGAAUCUGUUUUAAAGAGUGUUUUCGGUAACCUACUUUUUU
rnacentral:lncRNA from 1 species